rnacentral:rRNA from 1 species
UACGUAGGGGGCUAGCGUUGUCCGGAAUUAUUGGGCGUAAAGAGCUUGUAGGCGGUCUGUCGCGUCUGCUGUGAAAAUCCGGGGCUCAACCCCGGACUUGCAGUGGGUACGGGCAGACUAGAGUGUGGUAGGGGAGACUGGAAUUCCUGGUGUAGCGGUGAAAUGCGUAGAUAUCGGGAGGAACACCUGUGGCGAAGGCGGCCCCCUGGUUGGAUACUGACGCUGAGACGCGAAAGCGUGGGGAGCAAACAGG